CCUACGGGAGGCAGCAGUGGGGAAUCUUGCGCAAUGGGCGAAAGCCUGACGCAGCAACGCCGCGUGCGGGAUGAAGGCCUUCGGGUUGUAAACCGCUUUCAGCAGGGAAGAAAUUGACGGUACCUGCAGAAGAAGCCCCGGCCAACUACGUGCCAGCAGCCGCGGUAACACGUAGGGGGCGAGCGUUGUCCGGAUUUAUUGGGCGUAAAGAGCUCGUAGGCGGUUCACUAAGUCGGGUGUGAAACCUCCAGGCUCAACCUGGAGACGCCACCUGAUACUGGUGUGACUAGAGUCCGGUAGGGGAGUGUGGAACUCCUGGUGUAGCGGUGAAAUGCGCAGAUAUCAGGAAGAACACCAGCGGCGAAGGCGGCACUCUGGGCCGGUACUGACGCUGAGGAGCGAAAGCGUGGGUAGCAAACAGGAUUAGAUACCCUGGUAGUCCACGCCGUAAACGUUGGGCACUAGGUGUGGGUCUCAACCAACGAGAUCCGUGCCGCAGCUAACGCAUUAAGUGCCCCGCCUGGGGAGUACGGCCGCAAGGCUAAAACGUCAAAGGAAUUGACGG
rnacentral:rRNA from 1 species